rnacentral:rRNA from 1 species
AGCGAACGCUGGCGGCGUGCUUAACACAUGCAAGUCGAGCGAAGGUGUUUCAAGGGUAACCUUGAGAUACACUUAGCGGCGGACGGGUGAGUAAUACGUGGAUAACUUACCUCUAGGCCUAGGGGUAACCCCGGGAACUGGGGCUAAUACCGUGAUAAGACCACAUUGUCUACGGACAAAGGGGUAAAAGGUGGCUGUGCGAAACAGCUAUCGCCAAAAGAUAGGUUCACGUCCCAUCAGGCAGUGGUGAGGUAAUGGCUCACCAAACCAAAGACGGGUAGCCGGCCUUGGC